UGCCAUCUCAUCUGCAUCCUGGGAAGCAGGAAGGAGCACAGAGGAAAACACAAGCCUGCUCUGGCCAGCUCAGUGUGCUCCUUCCAGAAACAGCAGAAGCCAGGGCCAUGCCAUUGAACUUCUCAGCCAGCAGAACUGUGAGCUUGAUGAAUUACCCCAUCACAGAGGUUCUUUUAUGGCUACACAGAAUGGACUCAGACACCCAUGCUCACAGCCGUGCAGUCACAAUAGCCCAAAGGUGGAAACAACCCAGCAGCCUCGUGCCGAGUGAAGCCAGCCAGUCACAAUAGGACCAAUGCUGUGACCCCACAGAUGGAAGGCCCCCAGAGGAGUCAGAUUCAAGAGGA